rnacentral:rRNA from 1 species
GAACUUGGAGAUAGCUGGUUCUCUCCGAAAUAGCUUUAGGGCUAGCCUCAAGUGAUGAUUAUUGGAGGUAGAGCACUGUUUGGACGAGGGGCCCCUCUCGGGUUACCGAAUUCAGACAAACUCCGAAUGCCAAUUAAUUUAACUUGGGAGUCAGAACAUGGGUGAUAAGGUCCGUGUUCGAAAGGGAAACAGCCCAGACCACCAGCUAAGGUCCCAAAAUAUAUGUUAAGUGGAAAAGGAUGUGGCGUUGCCCAGACAACUAGGAUGUUGGCUUAGAAGCAGCCAUCAUUUAAAGAGUGCGUAAUAGCUCACUAGUCGAGUGACACUGCGCCGAAAAUGUACCGGGGCUAAACAUAUUACCGAAGCUGUGGAUUGUCCUUUGGACAAUGGUAGGAGAGCGUUCUAAGGGCGUUGAAGCAUGAUCGCAAGGACAUGUGGAGCGCUUAGAAGUGAGAAUGCCGGUGUGAGUAGCGAAAGACGGGUGAGAAUCCCGUCCACCGAUUGACUAAGGUUUCCAGAGGAAGGCUCGUCCGCUCUGGGUUAGUCGGGUCCUAAGCUGAGGCCGACAGGCGUAGGCGAUGGAUAACAGGUUGAUAUUCCUGUACCACCUAUAAUCGUUUUAAUCGAUGGGGGGACGCAGUAGGAUAGGCGAAGCGUACGAUUGGAUUGUACGUCUAAGCAGUGAGAUUGAGUGUUAGGCAAAUCCGGCACUCUUAAGAUUGAGCUGUGAUGGGGAGAGGAAAUUGUUUCCUCGAGUCGUUGAUUUCACACUGCCGAGAAAAGCCUCUAGAUAGAGAUUAGGUGCCCGUACCGCAAACCGACACAGGUAGUCAAGAUGAGAAUUCUAAGGUGAGCGAGCGAACUCUCGUUAAGGAACUCGGCAAAAUGACCCCGUAACUUCGGGAGAAGGGGUGCUCUUUAGGGUGCAAGCCCAGAAGAGCCGCAGUGAAUAGGCCCAAGCGACUGUUUAUCAAAAACACAGGUCUCUGCUAAACCGUAAGGUGAUGUAUAGGGGCUGACGCCUGCCCGGUGCUGGAAGGUUAAGAGGAGUGGUUAGCUUCUGCGAAGCUACGAAU